GCCGAUGUGGCGGAAUUGGCGAACGCACGACUCAAAAUCGUGUGGGGUAGCCCCCGUGUGGGUUCGACUCCCACCAUCGGCA
rnacentral:tRNA from 1 species